GUUUUAAUAAUUUAAAAAAAAAUAUUGAUUUUGUAAAUCAAAUAUAAAGUUAUACUUUUUAAAACU
rnacentral:tRNA from 1 species